UCCAGAGUUGGAGGUUCCUGCUCUGAAGAAGUGUGUUGAUUCUAGUCUAUUAACUGCAUAAGCUACAAGCCUCAUCAAAAGAGAAAAAUUCCUGUCUUAUUCCACCUUCAGCCUGAUCACAGCCCUUUUGGAAGUUUGUGGUCGUGCCUGUAUCUGAGGGCAGAGUCUUCAAGAAGUCUUGAAUAAUCUCAGCAAAGAUCCAGGAUCCCAGGAGAUCAUUUACAGCUUUUUAACAAGGAAAAG
rnacentral:lncRNA from 12 species